rnacentral:rRNA from 1 species
UACGUAGGGUGCGAGCGUUACUCGGAAUUACUGGGCGUAAAGCGUGCGUAGGCGGUUCGUUAAGUUCGUUGUGAAAGCCCCGGGCUCAACCUGGGAAUGGCAAUGGAAACUGGCGGGCUGGAGUAUGGCAGAGGGGGGUGGAAUUUCCGGUGUAGCGGUGAAAUGCGUAGAUAUCGGGAGGAAUACCAGUGGCGAAGGCGGCUUUCUGGCUUACUACUGACGCUGAGGAGCGAAAGCGUGGGGAGCGAACGGG